CAGUCGCCGCGGUAAUACGUAGGUGGCAAGCGCCGUCCGGAAUUAUUGGGCGUAAAGCGCGCGCAGGUGGUUUAAUAAGUCUGAUGUGAAAGCCCACGGCUCAACCGUGGAGGGUCAUUGGAAACUGUUAAACUUGAGUGCAGGAGAGAAAAGUGGAAUUCCUAGUGUAGCGGUGAAAUGCGUAGAGAUUAGGAGGAACACCAGUGGCGAAGGCGGCUUUUUGGCCUGUAACUGACACUGAGGCGCGAAAGCGUGGGGAGCAAACAGGAUUAGAUACCCCCGUAGUCCCUGUCUCUUAUAC
rnacentral:rRNA from 1 species